rnacentral:misc_RNA from 1 species
AUUUUUCUUAGUCGUCUCCUCGUGCUCCGCUUUGUGUGUCAGAGUUUCUGCCAAUCUUCUCGGUGAAGAGCCUCUUGGAUUUCAUCUUGAUAACAUAUCCUACACAAUAGCAAGGUCUCCAUAUGAGCAUCCUUUAGCAACCAAGGCACAAGGAAUCUUCGUUUAUGACGGAUAUAAGUCUCAGUUUGUGAUAAGGCUUCAUCAAAUACUGAAGUCCAUCAAAUGUAUCUGCUUCAACGGAGAAGCAUGUGUCUCCUCCGGCAGUGAAGUGUCCCCCGUACCUCUUGCGAAACGGCGGAGAAGAUGAGGAGCCUCGUGGUAUCUGUCUUGAUCCUGGGCGCUUUGUCCGGAAUGGAGUCACAGAAGCUGGAUUCUUUUCUCUGGAGGACUACUGUGAAUUCCUUGGCAAGCAGCGUCUUCAGUCCCCAGUCUCCUUCGGCAGAGCGAUCGGCCCUUCGCCAGCCGGACGCGAGGCACAGGCGGAAGCGACAGUCGGAUGAGUGGGAGUAUGAAAUCACUGCGACUACAUCGACAAUAACAGUAACAUUUACUAACAAGCCGAUAAAUGCACAGUACUGGAUGGAUGUGUACGAAUCCGCAACACAACGAAUUGCAGUAAGAACAGAAUGGAAGAUAAAAGGGACAAUCACUUUUAAGAACCUGGUUCCUAGCACGGAAUAUGUAAUAACUGUUCAUAAGACUCCCCCAAUCUUUUCCAUCCGCCACAUGACCAAGAAACGCAUGUCUGUCAUCGGCUCAACACCGACUAGCAUCACGCUUUAUUUCCAAGAAAAGCCAAGCCGAGAUCGCUACAAUGCCUUCGCCACGAGAUCUGGAUCGCAGCAACCGGCUUCCUCCGUUGGUGUGGUGUCGGAUAAGGCGACGCUGACGAACUUGCAGCCUGGCACCGAGUAUGAGGUAUCAGUGACUUACUCGGGCAAAGAGGAAAAGUUAACCUUUAAAACUCUAGCUUCCAUUUCACUCCAUUUGAGUCUGAAGCCACCAGACAGUGUUGAAGCCCGUUGGUCACAUCCAGGUGAAGCUUCACUCACGUACUAUUUAAGCUACACGAUUGAUUUCCAUGCCUGUCGUAAUUACGUCAUCAACGGGGAUCGCAUAUCUGUGACUGGAUCAGGUCGACAUGUGCAGCCGGCUGUCCCCCCUUAUGCCGCAUGUGAAAUGUGUAUUGAAGUCUUUGGUGAAGUGAGAAGUGCUAAAGAGUGUAAAACCAUUGAUACACCUGCGGGACUCCCAGAAAGCAAGAUAGAGCGAAUUACCUGCAACGGAAAAUGGACUUGCAAUCUACUCUUCGAAAAUGACUGCACGCUCAUCCGCGGACCGAACCUAUGUGCCUUUUACAAAUUUUCUGGCCCAGGAGACAGCGAGCAAUCAUGGCAAAGGAAGUGCGAUCAAAGCUUUGCUAGUAACCGUGUCUCAAUCACGGUCAACAGGCCUCAAAACCUGCUUCCGUAUACGACCUACAGCCUCACUGCCUUUCCCGCAACUGAAACGGAGGUGAAUUCGAGGAACGAUCUGAAAGGAUUCACAACAUUCACCACUCCUUCGAAAGCUCCUGGGAAGGUCACGGAUCUGAAGGUGUCAGCCGCUGCCCACUCCCUCACUCUGACCUGGUUCGACCCUUCCGACAACCCCCUCAGGGGCAAACUUUUAAGGUUCAGAGUAACAUGGAACCGUGGAACCAGGGUGGGGACAAGCUCGUAUAUAGACCUGCCCUUGUCCGAAGUCCCCGAGGGCAAAGAGGGACGACGAUCCCACACCAUUACGGACCUGGAGGCUGGCGAAGAUUACUACGUAGAGGUUUUGGCUCAGAAUGCUGGUGUGCAGAGCUUCGGAGAUCCCAAUGGUCUAGCAACGAGGACUCUACACGGAGUGCCUUCACCGCCGCGGAGUGUCAAUUACAGCAUCUCAGAUGGUCAGGUUUCCCUGUCAUGGGAGCCUUCUGUGGAUAUGGCCGGGGGACUCGUCUUCUAUGUCGUCGUGCUGGACGGACGCAACCUUUCUUGCGCUGCUGAUGCCAGUGCAGACCUCGAAUGUCUGCUGGAAGGUUUAACAGCAGGUGAGGAACAUGUGGUGACUGUGAGGGCAUGCAACAGUUACCAUUGCAGUGAUUCUGAACAGCUAACAGUGAUUGGACCUGGUGUUAAGAGUGAAUAUAUCAUCCUCCCUGUGGUACUGCUUCUCCUUUUGCUGUGUCUGAUAAUCUUUCUGAUAGUCUGGUAUCGGCGCAAACCAUCAACUUCGAAGGAGUUGCUGGUUGAAAUGACACGUGACGAGGGGCCCGGCAUUUCCCUUGAACUGGCGGAGAGCCCAGCCGGUGAGCAGGAGGAGCUGGUCCUCGAACAAGGCUCGCCCGAGGGGGACCCCACCUACGAAAACCUCGCCCGGAAGAUCACCAAGGCUGACCUCAACACGUACCUCACUCGUGCAGUCAACUCGCAGGACUUGGCCGACGAGUUCAAAAGCGUGCCGUCCAUCAUGAAGAAGAGCUGUUCAGACGCCGAAAUCCCGAUGAACAGGCAGAAGAACAGAUACAAGAACAACUUACCUUACAAUGACACGAGAGUUGCCUUGCCGUUUUUGCCCAACGUGCCGCACUCAGACUACAUCAACGCCAGCUAUGUUAACAGCUACCAGCGCGACCGGGCCUUCAUCGCCAGCCAGGGACCCAAGGACUUCGCCGUCAACACCAUCGACGACUUCUGGCGCAUGAUCUGGCACACGGGCGCCCGCGUGGUCGUCAUGGUGACCCGACUCGUCGAGGGCGGCCGGGUCAAAGUAGCCCAGUACUGGCCCGAGAAGGAACCCAUGUUCAAGGGCGGCCUCGAGAUCCACCUGAAGAAGGAGAAAGUGAAGAUGGACUUCGUGGUGAGAACACUUUGCAUUCGGCUUGACCACGAGGAGAGAGAGGUGAAACAGUACCAGUUCUUGGCCUGGCCCGACCAUGGCGUCCCCUUGCACGCCUACAGCCUGGCGCAGAUGGUGGCCAACAUCCGGGCGGAGGACAUGAGCGACGGACCGCUUCUCGUGCACUGCAGCGCUGGCAUAGGACGCACGGGCACCAUCCUGCUGGUGCUGCACGCGCUCGACCAGCUGGAGGCGGCGGGUCUUGUGAGCAUGCGCGACGGCCUCCUUGAGCUCAGGAAGGCGCGUCCUCUGCUCGUCGAGAACGUGGUGCAGUACAGAUUCGCCCACCAACUCCUGCACGAGAUUCUCUGCGGGGAGACGACAAGCAUCCCCUGCGGCAGUUUCCUGGAGGAGCUGGAGAGACUGAGGACGCCGCAGACCCCAGGAGGCACCUCUGUCCUCCAGGAACAGUACCAGAGACUGAGGGACUUCCCGAAGGGCCUGACCUUUUCCUUCGCCAAGAGACCGGAAUUCGCCCACCUCAAUCGAGACCCUGAGAUCGUCCCAGCGGAUGGCAGGAUGAUCUUCCUCUACGUGCUGACCAGCGACUCUUGCUCUCAGUACAUCAACGCCACUUUCGUCAACGGAUUCGACAAAAAGGACGAAUUCGUAGCGAUGGAGCACCCGAUGGAGCACACCCUUGACACGGCCUGGAGGAUGAUCUACGAGAGGAAGAUGCCGGUCUGGAUCCUCGUCCACGCCUUCCCCGAUCACGACAAGGUGCGCGCGUUGGGGAGCGGCUGGAUUUCCCGAGCGUGCUUCCUCCCGCCGGAGAGGUGUGGGACCUGAAGAACAUGAGGGUGGAAGUCAUCAGUAGUCAGUUGUAUAACAACUUCAGUGAGGCAACCGUCCAAGUGUCGUUCGUGAAUAAUGAGAAGGUGAUGGGCAGCCACCGUUGUGCCGUGCUGCAGGCGGAGGGCUGGCCUGCCGACGUCGCCUUGCCCUCGUCCCCGCUGCCCCUUCUCGCCGUCCUGGAGCGCCUCGACUCCCUCCCGCGGACGGGCGGCCCUCC